rnacentral:rRNA from 1 species
UGCAGUCGAGCGGAUGACGGGAGCUUGCUCCUUGAUUCAGCGGCGGACGGGUGAGUAAUGCCUAGGAAUCUGCCUGGUAGUGGGGGACAACGUUUCGAAAGGAACGCUAAUACCGCAUACGUCCUACGGGAGAAAGCAGGGGACCUUCGGGCCUUGCGCUAUCAGAUGAGCCUAGGUCGGAUUAGCUAGUAGGUGAGGUAAUGGCUCACCUAGGCGACGAUCCGUAACUGGUCUGAGAGGAUGAUCAGUCACACUGGAACUGAGACACGGUCCAGACUCCUACGGGAGGCAGCAGUGGGGAAUAUUGGACAAUGGGCGAAAGCCUGAUCCAGCCAUGCCGCGUGUGUGAAGAAGGUCUUCGGAUUGUAAAGCACUUUAAGUUGGGAGGAAGGGCAGUAAGUUAAUACCUUGCUGUUUUGACGUUACCGACAGAAUAAGCACCGGCUAACUCUGUGCCAGCAGCCGCGGUAAU